GUCAGAGUGCACACCAGUCCUAGGUCCACCUUAAUGAGAGUAUCCCAACAAACACCUCAACAGCACUGUGGGUUGUGGAGGAAAUGAGGGCUUCUUUUUCAGAAUGCCUUUUGUUCCUUUAGGUUUUAUUUGUUUUGACACACACCCUUGCCUGUCAGACAGGUGGCAGAUUCAUACUAAAAUGGCAUCAGUAAAGAGAGGAAAGAAACAACAUGCAGUUUGACCAGUUUCCGAUUGACUGGAAUGUAUAACUACAGUUGCAAAUUUCUUAGUAGACACUCAUUAUCUGAGCUCCCAAGCACCACAAUCCUUGUUGUCCAUCUCAGAUGGUGACUCCAACAAAAUUCUUCUCGGUAUCAA